AUUGAACGCUGGCGGCAUGCCUUACACAUGCAAGUCGAACGGCAGCACGGGAGCAAUCCUGGUGGCGAGUGGCGAACGGGUGAGUAAAGUAUCGGAACGUGCCCAGUCGUGGGGGAUAACGUAGCGAAAGUUACGCUAAUACCGCAUACGAUCUAUGGAUGAAAGCGGGGGAUCGCAAGACCUCGCGCGAUUGGAGCGGCCGAUAUCAGAUUAGGUAGUUGGUGGGGUAAAGGCCCACCAAGCCGACGAUCUGUAGCUGGUCUGAGAGGACGACCAGCCACACUGGGACUGAGACACGGCCCAGACUCCUACGGGAGGCAGCAGUGGGGAAUUUUGGACAAUGGGCGAAAGCCUGAUCCAGCCAUGCCGCGUGCAGGAUGAAGGCCUUCGGGUUGUAAACUGCUUUUGUACGGAACGAAAAGGACUGCCCUAAUACGGUGGUCCCAUGACGGUACCGUAAGAAUAAGCCCCGGCUAACUCCGUGCCAGCCGCCGCAGUAA
rnacentral:rRNA from 1 species